AAAAUACUCCCUCCGUCCGGAAAUACUUGUCAUUGAAAUGGAUGUAUCUAGAUGUAUUUUAGUUCUAGAUACAUCCAUUUUCAUCCAUUUUGAUAACAAGUAAUUCUGGACGGAGGGAGUAUUAU
rnacentral:pre_miRNA from 1 species